rnacentral:rRNA from 1 species
UACGGAGGGGCUAGCGUUGUUCGGAAUUACUGGGCGUAAAGGGCGCGUAGGCGGUUCGUUAAGUCCUGUGUGAAAUCCCCCGGCUACAACGUGGGGACUGCACAGGAAACUAGCGGGCUUGAGUUCGGGAGAGGGAAGCGGAAUUCCAGGUGUAGCGGUGAAAUGCGUAGAGAGUCCGGAAGAACGACCGGUGGCGAAGGC